UGGAGGACGACAACAAGACUCUCGUACUGGAUAAAAUGCAUAAUGAAAAAGUAACCUGUCAUGUCAAAAAUCAUGUCAAUCGUGACUACAAUUCAAUUGAACUGCCAAAAUUUACCAGUCUCACUGUGUUUGUAUUUAUGUGGGUCUUUGAAGUCAUCAUCCUGCUGUCUGUGUUAGUGGGCACAUUGUACAUUUACCCCAGAAUCUACAGAAAACAGAGGACACCAGAGAGACCAGGAAGCUCUGUAACCCUUGACAAGGAUUAGAAGAGGUGGUCUGUGGCUGAUCUCCUCUAGUCGAACAGCCAUUGUUCUCCGUCUCAUCCAGACUAAAACCUGAUAAAAAUGUACUGUAACCAUUACUAUAACAGUGCUACAGUGCCUUCUGCUU